ensembl:miRNA
AGACUCUGUAGCUCUCUCAGAGGGAGAGAGCUACAGAGUCUGAGAGC